rnacentral:tRNA from 1 species
CAGGUGUAGUUUAAUGGUAGAACAUUAGCCUUCCAAGCUAAAUACGGGAGUUCGAUUCUCCUCACCUG